GAUGAACGCUAGCUACAGGCUUAACACAUGCAAGUCGAGGGACCGGCGCACGGGUGAGUAACGCGUAUCCAACCUACCCAUUACUGUGGGAUAACCUGCCGAAAGGCAGACUAAUACCGCAUAGUAAUGGAUGGGGAUGCGUCUGAUUAGCUUGUUGGCGGGGUAACGGCCCACCAAGGCGACGAUCAGUAUGAGUUCUGAGAGGAAGGACCCCCACAUUGGAACUGAGACACGUGCCAAACGCAUACGGGAAGGAGGAGGGAGGAGUAGUGGUAGAUGGGCGCGAGCCUGAACCAGCCAAGUAGCGUACAGGAUGACGGCCUAUGAGUUGUAAGCUGCUUUUGUAUGGGGAUAGGUACCGUACGAAUAAGGACGGGCUAAUUCCGUGCCAGCCGCCGCGGUAAUAC
rnacentral:rRNA from 1 species